GGAUGACAGAGGAUGAGAUGGUUGGAUGGCAUCACCAACCAUCCAAGCUCCUUGGAGUUUGAGCAAGCUCCAGGAGUUGGUGAUGGACAGGGAAACCUGGUGUGCUGCAGUCCAUGGAAUCACAAAGAGUCAGACAUGACUGAGUGACUGAACUGAACUGAAUACCCUCUCGUUGUGUAACUACUAUAGGAAUUGAAGCAGUAUGUUGAAAUAGUUCAAAACAAACCAUUAAACUGCUCUGUGCCUCUGUCUUCUCAACUGUUAAAUGAGAAUAAUUCCUAGUUUAUAGUCAUGGUGUGGGCUUCCCUGGUGGCUCAGAUGGUAAAGAAUCUGCCUGCAAUGCAGGAGACCUUGGUUUGAUCCCUGGGUUUGGAAGAUUGCCUGGAGAAAGAAAUGGCAACCCACUCUAGUAUUCUUGCCUGGAGAAUCCCAUGGACAGAGGAACCUGUUGGGCUAUAGUCCAUGGGCUCAAAAAGAGUCAGAUACGACUGAACGACUGAGACACACAUAGUCAUUGUGAGAGUUAUCUGAGAUAGGAUAAAGUUCUUAGCACCAUGGCUGGUACAUGGUAAGAAAUCACUAUUUGGUAGCUGUUAUUACUGCUGGGCUAGGCCAUAUCCAUAUCUUUCUAGAAAGUAAAAAAGCUAAUAAGGAUUAUAAGAUGGUAACCUGAGUCUUGGGUUGCUAUUUAUUAUCACUUAGGCUGCCAUUAACUAAUUUCCCUUUCACUUUGAGGAAUGUAAGAAAGGAGGGGUUUACAGAGUACUAAAGGAUUAAGCUGGAGUAGGAAAUGGCAACUCACUCCAGUAUGCUUACCUGGAAAACUCCAUGGACAGAGGAGCCUGGCAGGCUACAGUCAAUGGGGUUGCAAAGAGUUGCCAUGACUGAGUGACCGAGUACAAAGGAUUAAGCAAAAGUUGCCAAAAGGAUUGAAUGAUCAUCUCAGUGAUCAAUUAUCUGAAUUGUCUCUCCAGUGCCCAUGAUACUUGACAUAAAGUAGAUGCUCAACAAAUAUUUUAAUUUUGUGAAAUUAUUGAAAUUGAGUGAACUAAUAUAUGGAAGCUCAUCAAGAACCUAGAUGUUUACUUUAUGUGAUUUUACCUUCAGGAAAGUCAACCCUGUCCAAAAAUUGCUAGUUCUUUACCUGCUCUCGUGUCAGAAACUUUCUCAGUUAAGAUCUGUUCUUUUAAGACUUUAUAUCAUAAAAAGACUAUUAAAGGUGCCUGAAGAUGCCUCUUUCCAGAGAACCUUACAGAACUCCUUCAUACUGCAAGCAAAAAGGAAAGGAAAGAAGGAAGAGAGGGAGGGACUUAAAUAGUGCUGGGGAUUUCUCCAUUGUUGCACUUAAUACUGCUAUUAUGAGUGUUAAGUGAGAGGGAAGAAUCUGCUAUUUACUCAGGCUCUCUCAAUUCUUUUUGAUGAGCUUCUUACCUAACCUAACUAAGUCUGAUGAUUAAAAAACCAUGAGCCCUAAAUGCAAACCAACUCUUUAAUCUGGUGUUUAACUGAAGUUGUUUCAAUCGCUAAGUCGUAUCCAACUCUUUGAGAUCCCAUGGACUACAGCACCCCAGGCAUUCCUGUCCCUCACCAUUUCCCAGAGUUUGCUCAAACUCAUGUCCAUUGAGUCAGUGAUGCCAUCCAACCAUCUCAUCCUCUGUUGCCCCCUCUUACUGCCCUCAUUCUUUCCCAGCAUGAGGGUCUUUUCCAAUGAGAUAGCUCUUCACAUCAGGUGGCCAAAAUAUUGUAGCUUCAGCUUCAGCAUCAGACCUUCCAAGGAAUAUUCAGGAUUUAUUUCCUUUAGGAUUGACUUGUUUUAUCUGCUUGCUCUCCAAGGGGCUCUCAAGAGUCUUCUCUAGCACCACUGUUUGAAAGCUAUUCAUUCUUCGGUGCUCAGCCUUCUUUAUGGUCCAGCACUCACAUCCGUUCAUGACUACUGGAAAAACAUAGCUCUGACUAGAUGGACCUUUGUAGGCAAAGUGAUGACUCUGCUUUUUACUAUGCUGUCUAGGUUGGUCAUAACUUCUCUUCCAAGGAGUAAGCAUCUUUUAAUUUCAUGGCUGCAGUCACCAUCUGCAGUGAUUUUGGAGCCCAAGAAAAUAGUCUGUCACCAUUUCCAUUGUUCUCCCAUCUUUUUACCAUAAAGUAAUGGGACUGGAUGUCAUGAUCUUUGUUUUUUGAAUGUUGAGUGUUAAGCCAGCUUUUUCAGUCUCCUCUUUCACCCUCAUCAGGAGACUCUUUAGUUCUUCG
ensembl:lncRNA